GCUCAACCAGUAUAAUCAAUGUACUAUAUAAAAUUAAAAUUCAAGAUGGCGGCCUCUACAAAAUGGCGGAUAACUUAGGUUUUAUCGAUCCCAUCAAUAUGGGUAUCAAAUGAAAGUGCUCAACCAGUAUAAUCAAUAUACUAUAUAAAAUUAAAAUCCAAGAUGGCGGCCUCUACAAAAUGGCGGAUAACUUAGGUUUUAUCAAUCCCAUCAACAUG
rnacentral:misc_RNA from 1 species